UAGGGAAUAUUGGUAAUGUGCGAAAGCGCGAACCAGCAACGCCGCGUGCACGAUGAAGGCCUUCGGGUCGUAAAGUGCUUUUAGAGAGGAUGAGGAAGGACAGUACUUUCUGAAUAAGCCUCGGCUAACUACGUGCCAGCAGCCGCGGUAAAAUGUAGGAGGCAAGCGUUAUCCGGAUUUACUGGGCGUAAAGCGCAUGCAGGUGGUUUUGUAAGUUGGAUGUGAAAGCUCCUGGCUUAACUGGGAGAGGUCGUUCAAAACUACAAGACUUGAGAUUGGUAGAGGAAAAUGGAAUUCCGGGUGUAGUGGUGAAAUGCGUAGAUAUCCGGAGGAACACCAGUGGCGAAAGCGGUUUUCUGGACCAAUUCUGACACUCAGAUGCGAAAGCUAAGGUAGCAAACG
rnacentral:rRNA from 1 species